CCGCUAACUCCCUAUUACUCCCCGAAGACUCUGCCAGAUAACAGAAAGGCAGUGAGCUGGCUUUCCUUUCCAGGAGCCAAUGAACUCAGACGUGGACUCUGGCCCCAAACAGCUGUGCGCUCUUGGGCUGACUGCCCACUGUGCUGAGCCGCCGUUUCCCUCUGGUGCCAAACGGGCUAAGAUCACCUACCUCGCUGAACAGCAGUGAAGAUGAGAGAUCACGGCAAUGUCUUUCAAGGGCCUAGUACGGAGCGGGCCGUGCUUUAGGCACCUUUAAACCUCGGGCAGGACCACCCCUCCCCGCUGGGACUUCAGAGAAAAACCGAGCCUGCAGACGUCACCUCGCUCCCGUUCCCUCCAUGGAACCUUCUAGUCCACAGUCCCCUUCUCCUCCCUCCGGCCGGGGCAGAGCCAUACCUCCUCGCCUGUAAAGGUAACUCCUCAGCUCAGGUGGCUCGCCCUUCCACCUCCUCAGGAACUUUGCUCCAGAAUGUCCCCUGGAGAGGGGAUAAUUAUGCAUUCUACUUUUUCUUCACUCUCCUUUGGCUGGUUCCUUCCUUUAAGCACUAAACACAUUCUAGUUUCUUGCUUUAAAAAAGAAAGGAAACUUCUUUGACUCCACCUCCAGGACAGUCCUAUCUUUGGCUUCCCCUUCAAGGCCACUUUCAACAAGAGCUGUUUGCGCUGCCCUGUGGCUGAGUCCUCACCUCCCACUCACGACUUUUACUUUAAUGCGGCUUCCAACUCCACCAAACGGGAGAAAUAUUGGUCAGGAAAUCACCAGUGAUUUCCCGGCCGCCCCUGUCAAUGGCCACCUCGUGGGCCUUAUCACCCCAGCCGCAUUCCCAGCUCUUCGGGGCCGGGGCGCCCCGGGUAACUCCCUUCGGAAAACUGCCCGAGCCUGACACCCUUGUCUCCCGGCUCACCUCCCCCACGAUCCUGUGUGAGUUACUCUUUCUCGGGCAAUUCCCCAACUGUUGGUCUCUCUCAGGACCCACUAACCGGCUCCUUCUUUUCUUCAACCUUCUUUGCCGGGGUAAAUCCAUCCACGCUCACGGCAUCAGUCAAUACGCUGAUCAUACUUCUCAGUUUGCCCCACACGGUUCUGGCUUACCCCCGUUUUCCCAGCGCAACUAUUAAGGGCAACCUCCCCACGACACACACACCAAAAAAAGUCCCACUUUGGAUGGAAACAAAUUAUUCGGGUCUUCUUAUCAAUCACCAUUUGUAUGCAGAUGACUCCUGUAUUGUGGCGAAGCCCAGUGUCUCAGAGGGGGGCCUGGAGUCAAACCCCUGGGUUUAUAUCCGGUUCCGCCGCUGACUCGCCUCUGCGACCCCGGGCAGCUUAAGUAAAUUUUUUUUUGCACUUCAGAACACUCAUCAACAAAACUAGAAUAAUACUAUGAAUUUUUUAAGAAGUGAGGGUUACGUGAACAAAGUCAUUGGCGUGAGGUCUGCCACAUUUUUAAGUGCUCAAUAAAUUUAGUCAGCCCAAACUUGUCUCCUGAGCUUCAGGGUAUUCAGAAGGAUCUGGAAGACCUGCGUUCCCACUGCUCUGUGCGUUGGCAGCAGGACUGAGGAUUUCGCCAGUCCCAAACCCUAUGGCUUGGAACCAGAAGGGGGGCAAGGUCUGAGAGAUUCCUUUGUCGGCUGUCGAUCAGAGGGCCAGGUUGGAGAGCCCAGAGCCCCGGCUGCUAGGCAGAUAAGUUCACGUCUGGGUGCUGCUGGGUUCGUGAGCCAGCGGCUGGGGAGAAGAUGCCAUUUCCGGUGGUAUCUGAGGCAAAUGACACGAGUCAGCAUUUACUUCUUUGCAUUAGGAAGCGGAAGACUAAUGACCAAAGCUUGAAGACUCCGGCCCAUGUGAAAACACAAAGUGGCAAGUAAAUCCAAAAAUGUAGCUUUUUCCUGGAAUCUGGGGCUGAGCUCGUUUUCAUUUCACAUUUCUCAGUAAUUUGGGUGUAGCUUAUAUUGACUCUUAAACUUUGUUCUGUUUUAACAAUUCAGACCCUCAGCUCUUACUACCUUGUGUGUGUUCCCCGCUGAGAAAGCAGAGUGGGGGAGAGAAAGAUUGGCGGGGAGCGCAGAGAAAGGGGAAGUGAGAAAAAAGAAAUAAGAAAAUGAGAAGAUUGCUCCCUUUUCUAAUUAAUUUUUCAUAGUAGUAAUCCUGUGCUGCUUUAGUUUACAUUAGGCUUUCAGAUCCUUUCCCUUGACCUUCCCAUGGCCCUGUGGGUAGAGGAGCAGCCCAGUCCAUGGCCACAGAGGACUACAGGCCCCAGUAAGCUCAGAAAGUGGCACACCCACGAGACCUGCUGAUCCUCCUCUGCUGUUCCACGGGAAACCUGGGAACCCCGCAGGGAACUGGAGGGUAUGGGGGCGGGGUCUUCCGGUGGGUUAGAUAAGUGCCCUGCUUUGUUUUCCUGGGUUUGGAAGGACAUGAUUUGGAGGCCGAGGAAUACCCUCUUCCCUACAAAUACCAAGAUGAAAGAGAAGGAGGAAAAGAAUCAGAAAAAAGGAAAAAUGAGGAAAUGAAGCUCUAAAAAUGUUCUUCCCCAAACUGUGGACCUUCUAUGGUGUUUUAAAUACUUUAGGACCGAGUAUUUCCCCAUCCCAUUUAAUGGUCUAAAUUAACUCUAAAAUGGGUUCCUCAUCCCACUUAAUGGUCUAAAAUAACAAGAGUAAUAGGCUCCAAAACAGUCCAGAAAUACACUCCCUCUGCACUUAGUUUUUGUUUGUUUUUUUAAUACUGUGCUGUUUAGGUAAAUUGGCCUAUAAAGCAACCCAGCUGCCUUUUCUUGAGAAAUGUCAUUUCACGGUACUUCAUUGAAUACUCAGUGUGUGGCUCAUGAAUUCCACCCAUUACACAUUGUUUUUAUUUCCUUAUCUCUUAUCUCUAUUUAUAAAUAAGUUAUUUUGCAUUUUUUUCCAUGAUUUUUCAUAUACUCGUUGCGUGUCUCAAGGCAAGGCUGCAUCUAGAACCCAAUGGAUAGUUCAGAGUAGUGUAUUACAUAGCUGAAAAUUGGCCAUUAUUUGAUUCUAGAAAUGAGUUUCAACUCUCUCCAGGUUCCAGCUCAUCUGUGCAUUGUGAGGGUGAAAGGCCUUGUGAGGUCUAGGGAAGCAUGACCAGAAUUGGCAUAAUUCUAAGACCAGAGAACAGAGGAGCAGGAAUGAUGCAGAUGAUAAUCUUGCUUAUCCUCUUUGAAUUUAAAAUAAAAUUGUUUGAGACCAAACAGCAGAUUUUUCUACUGAUUUUCUUCUAAGAACUUAUUACACUAUAUGGAGACAGUAUUGCUGUCUUUUGGCCCCAUUUUGUAUUCCAUUGCUCAGUGAGCUGGCUUGCUUUCUUACCCACCAAACUUCCCCUAAAUGAUAAUGAACACUGAUGCGUGUAGAAGGUUUUACACUUAGAAUCUUGCAACAGACCCCGCUUAUAAAGUCAGGCAAGUUUUAAUCAUUGUCUUCCCAUUGCAGAUGGUGGAACUGAGGCCUGGAGCAAGCCUGAAUGACUGUCACCGUGACGGAGUGCUCAGGGCACUUAGGACUGCGGUGUGUCCCCUUGCCCUCUCAGUGGGAGGCCAGACAGGGUGCACCGCUAUUGUUAUCUUGCUUAGUUUCGGAAGGUACUUAAUCCAUAUGGCAGGGAACUUCCAAAGGUACAGGUGGUAUGAGUGAGAAGUCCCUCUCCCUUUCUUGUUUCCUAAUCCUUCAUUUGUCCUGCCAGAAGUGAUGCGGUCAUGGGCUUCUUGUCUAUUCUAUCAGAAAUAUUCUAUACAGAUAACCUAUAGCUCUCUGAAAUAUUUUGUUCUCUCCUCCUUUCUUCUUGAAGAGUCCACUUUCCUUUUUAUUUAAGGCAGAUGUGUGGAAAGAAGAAUACGAACACCACUUAGAACAGAUGUUAACCUGCAGAAAGUCUUUGGUAAACGGAUCAUCCAGAUUGUUCCGAAUGUUCAGAUGUUUGAAAUGGUACAGAAAACUCAUGGCUUGUGACAGCCUGUAAAAGGAGUUAGGUGAAGCUCAUCCCUAUGGUGUGGCAUUUAGAACUGACCCGGGCCCUCGUACCCUGUCUGGGGACCACUUAAACCUUGAUGUGGAUUUGAGAUAUGGUGACUGCAUGUCUACUGAUGGUGUGAAUUGAAGCCAGAGCUAUGAUGCUGUGAAUAAAGUAGCUUUGGGGCCACACAGACUUGGGUUUGAUAAUGAACUUUGUCAUUUAUGGCUGCAUGAUGUUGGUAGUCACUGAACUCCUUGUGGCUUGAUUUUCUCAUCUGCAAAAUAAUGACAAUAACAGUCACUACAUAGAUGCAAGGGUUAAAUGAGAACAUAGACCCAGAGCACCAGGUAUGUAGUAGUGUAUAAUAAAAUACGUCAACAUCAUUAACCGUGGCCCAUCCACUAGCUCUUUCAUUCAUUCAAUAAAUAAUUGUGGCAUUAAAAAAAAAAAAAAACCUUGCCCCUAUGGAGUUGACAUUUGGUUGGGGGAAUCAGACAACUAAAAUAAAUAAAUAAAUAAAUAAGUAAAAUAAUAUGUUAGGUAGAAGAGGAACAUGAUUGUUGGAUGAGGAGGAUGCAGGGGCUGUGGGUUGGAAUUUUAAAUGGGGUAGUGACAGGGUUUGAGACCCACUACCCCAGAAUAUGGCACCUCAGCAUGCUGAAUAUUUUAAGACAAGGGGACUCGAGAAACGGCUCGUGCUGGAAUGACUCUGGGGCCUCCCGUGAAGCAGGUCACAAGGCCCUCUUGAGAGAGGUGCUCUCCCCUUACCAGGAAGAAAGUAGCAUCCUUAUCUCCAAAGACACCAGGACUCAGAGAGGAAUCUAAACAAACAGGUUUUGAGACCUGGCUGAGAACCUAGAAGGGACCAACAGUGGUCUGGAGAAGGUCUCCCAGAGAAGAUGACAUUUGAGCAAAGUCCAGAGGGAGGUGAUGGAAACACCAUAUAGAAAUCUGGGGGAAGGAAGGUCCAAGCAGAGAGAACAAUAAAGAGGAACCCUGUUAUUUUUCUUAUCAUCUUGGAACGGAGUGCAAGCAGGCCAGAAAUCAACCUACGAAAUAUGUACUUAGAAUAUACUUAUUUCAGCAAACUGCUGUGUGUUUAUGUUCAAAUCUAUGAGUGGCUACCUUAAAAAAGGAUCAAAUUUGGCAAGUCACAGAACAGUAUGUGUAUUCUUUUUGUGGCUUAAAACAGUCUGUGUAUCCUUGAUGGAUCAUUUCUCUUCAAAGCACUUGCAUUUAGCACUUUCAAGCACAUAUGAAUAAUUUGUUUCUACUGAGGCACAAAGUCUUCUCUGAUAGUAUACUGAGAAUUUUGAGACUGGAUUAAAACUUGUCAUGAGUUCAAUUUAGUGGCUUUUUAAGAAUUAAGCUCUGCACUGAGUCAGUAUAUGCACACUUCUGUGUUGUUGAGGAGCAAGGCUGGAGUUAGAGUUUGGGAAGUUAUAGGUUGAGAAGAGCCAAAUUAUAAGAGAGGAAUUUAUAGAAAACCCCAUUCUGUCAGGACUUCUUAAAAUUUUCUACAGACUUUCUUAGAAUUCGUAUGUUUUAUGCAAGUUCUCUGUUCUGCUCCAAUACAGCUUAGUGGUUCAGAGCAUGGCCUUUGUAGGCAGAAAAGUUGAGUUCAAGUCUGAAACGUGUGAGCUGUGUGAUUUUGGGAAAGUUACUUAACUUCUCUGGCCCAAAUCCCUCAGGGGAGAUUGAAUAUGCAAAGUGCUAAGCAGAGUGGUUGGCAUGUGGUAAAUGUUCAAUUUAUUCUAGAAAUUAGUAUACAUAUAUCCAUGCUUCAGUAACAUAAAAAUAGGCUUUAGAUGACUAUCACUGAAUAGAAUAUAAACACUGACAGGUACCCCAUUUGAUGGCACAGCUCUGUGGACUGGUGUGUCCCUAUCCCUGCAGGAACAGACUUGACAAGUGGGGAAGAGGAAAGGGCCUUAGGCCAAGUUGAGGCUCUGGGAGUUCUAGCAACUGCCCAAAUCCCAGCCAGCCUAGCCACUGAGCUUGGACUAAGGACCAGGCCUCCUGAGUCUCAGGCUCAUAGUCCCAGAGACACAGUUCAUAAAUUUCGGGGGGGGUGGGGUGGCAAAAAAAAGGUUUACAACCUUUUUCAUAAAGAAUAAUUUAAUAUCCUAGGAGAAUUGGGCCUUGAAUGGUUUAGCAAUGUCCCUUACCUCUAAAUAAUAGAGAAUUUGUGAACUUUUAUAGAGAAAAACUAUUUAAAAACUAUUUAAAAUUGUCAGAUCGUGGGGAGCCUGGGUGCCUUAGUCGUU